rnacentral:lncRNA from 1 species
AUGAAGUUAUGGACUUUGGCACACGUCUUUGACCACCUGUGGGAAAUUGUUACAACAGUUGCAAUGCAGAAAUAUCCAAACUCUAUGAGCCUGAGUGUGGUUGGAGUUGAUGUGUUGGACAGACAUAUAGAUCCCUCUGGUUCCCUUCUCAGCACAGAGAGGGGGCUGCUUCCAUUGUGAAGUCUCUAAUUGGUGCAGCAAGAACCAAAACAUAUGUGCAAGAACAUUCUGUAGUUGAUCAUGUAGAGAAAACAAUGGAACUUAAAUCUACUAACAUUUCAUUUACAAAUAAGGUUUCAGUAGAUGAGAGACUUAUAGAAAAGCCACAUCCUCGGGACAGAAAAAAAACUAUUUUGACUCAAGAAGCCAUAAUCACUGUGAAAGGAGUCAGCCUCAGCAGUUACCUUGAAGGACUGAUGGCAAGGCUGAGAAGCAAUGGAAUGGGUAAUACACAAAUUAAAUGCUGAGAUUGAAGAACUGUUGGCCUCUGCAAGAGGAAGCAUAGGGACUCCGAUGGCAGCAGCAGAGCAUUUGCAGAGAAAUAA